UAUACUUUUUGUGUACAAUGAAUAUCGUAAUUGAUGUAGACAAUAUCUGGACCUUAUAGAUAAGUGCAUAAAGAAGCUACGUCCAGUGACUUUUGUACAUUCUUGUUACUUCCAUCUUACCUACUUUAACAGAAGGUUGUAGUUUAAACAUAUCAAAAUAAUAAAGAAAAGUUGCAAACUUGCAAUUUACUAUUGAAGUAGUAGAGGAGCAGUAAGAAAGUUUUGACAGCAUUAUCAUGUGGAGGAUAUCUUGAAAUACCAGCUCAAAAAUUUUCAAAAAUUCAAUGGUGUUACAACAGUUUUAAGGCUAUAUGGGAGGAAAUGUCUUAGUAUUAUUCCAUUUUUCCAGCAUUUAAUGUGCAAUUAUUCAAUUAGUGAAGGAGCUCACUCACAUAAGUUGAUAGGAAAUUCUUCAACAAAGAGCAUAAAGGCAUACAUGCAAGGUAGUUAAAGGCAUAGGACGUCGUAAUUUGACGAUUGCAAAGAUAUUGACCGUUCAUUGCCUGCAGAAAUGCCAAGUUAGAAGUCAGUCCAGAUUCAUCAGCUAGAAAGCAUCUAACAUGGACAAAGGAUUUGAAAUCUAAAAAGCAACAGUAGAUUAAAAAUCCAAAGACUUUUCCAAACAUGUAAACUCAAGUAAACCGUAUCUUUACUAAUUGCAGGUCUUUAUAUUUAAUAGGAUUUCAGGAAGGUAAAUUAUAUUACAAUUUAGGCAUCGCAAUAGACAGUUCUAAAUUAAUAUAU